AAAGUCGUAACAAGGUCUCCGUAGGUGAACCUGCGGAGGGAUCAUCAAAGGAAAUUUUUACUCGUACCUUUACACGGUAUACAAACAAACGAUCGCAACUAUCAAUGGGUUUUUUUGGGGGGGUGAAGAAAGUGCUUGCCUGAUAAAAAACAUUGGAUUGGAAAAAAAGAAAUACAACUUUCAACAACGGAUCUCUUGGCUCUC
rnacentral:misc_RNA from 1 species